rnacentral:rRNA from 1 species
UAACAAGGUUUCCGUAGGUGAACCUGCGGAAGGAUCAUUACAGUAUUCUUUUGCCAGCGCUUAACUGCGCGGCGAAAAACCUUACACACAGUGUCUUUUUGAUACAGAACUCUUGCUUUGGUUUGGCCUAGAGAUAGGUUGGGCCAGAGGUUUAACAAAACACAAUUUAAUUAUUUUUACAGUUAGUCAAAUUUUGAAUUAAUCUUCAAAACUUUCAACAACGGAUCUCUUGGUUCUCGCAUCGAUGAAGAACGCAGCGAAAUGCGAUAAGUAAUAUGAAUUGCAGAUUUUCGUGAAUCAUCGAAUCUUUGAACGCACAUUGCGCCCUCUGGUAUUCCAGAGGGCAUGCCUGUUUGAGCGUCAUUUCUCUCUCAAACCCCCGGGUUUGGUAUUGAGUGAUACUCUUAGUCGGACUAGGCGUUUGCUUGAAAAGUAUUGGCAUGGGUAGUACUAGAUAGUGCUGUCGACCUCUCAAUGUAUUAGGUUUAUCCAACUCGUUGAAUGGUGUGGCGGGAUAUUUCUGGUAUUGUUGGCCCGGCCUUACAACAACCAAACAAGUUUGACCUCAAAUCAGGUAGGAAUACCCGCUGAACUUAAGCAUAUCAAUAAGCGGAGGAAGGAACUCCUCCUUUAAUAACUUAGUCCUCCCCAACAUAAUAAUAUUAACAGGACUAUAAAUUUAUGAUAUCUCAGAUAUAAUAAUAUUAACAGGACUAUAAAUUUAUGAUAUUUUAGACAUAAUA